CUUCUUCAAAGCUGUUAUUAUUAUUAAUUUAAAGUAGACACCAACCUUCAAAAAUGUUUAAUAAUAUUAAUAAAAUUUUAGCUUUUUGUUUUAUGUUUUAUUUUAUUGCAAGUACUUUCGCGAGAUCUGAUAUGAAACUAGCAAAAUGUCGUGAGCAAAUGAUGAAUGCUAACCUGCUGUCAAG